rnacentral:rRNA from 1 species
UACGGGGGAGCAAGCGUUGUUCGGAUUUACUGGCGUAAAGGGCGCGUAGGCGGUCAGCACAAGUCAGUUGUGAAAUCUCCGGGCUUAACUCGGAAAGGUCAACUGAUACUGUGCGACUAGAGUGCAGAAGGGGCAACUGGAAUUCUCGGUGUAGCGGUGAAAUGCGUAGAUAUCGAGAGGAACACCUGCGGCGAAGGCGGGUUGCUGGGCUGACACUGACGCUGAUGCGCGAAAGCCAGGGAGCGAACGGG